rnacentral:rRNA from 1 species
UACGUAGGGGGCAAGCGUUGUCCGGAAUCAUUGGGCGUAAAGAGCGCGUAGGCGGUCCGGUAAGUCCGCUCUGAAAGUCCGGGGCUCAACCCCGGGAGGCGGGCGGAUACUGUCGGGCUAGAGUCCGGAAGAGGCGAGUGGAAUUCCUGGUGUAGCGGUGAAAUGCGUAGAUAUCAGGAGGAAUACCGGUGGCGAAAGCGACUCUCUGGACGGCAACUGACGCUGAGGCACGAAAGCGUGGGGAGCAAACAGG